rnacentral:rRNA from 1 species
GAUGAACGCUGGCAGCAUGCUUAACACAUGCAAGUCGACCUGAUGGCGGACGGGUGAGUAACGCGUAAAGAACUUACCUCACAGUUAGGGUCACCUUUUGGAAACGAAUGCUAAUCCCUAUUACUGUGAGAGAGGUUUGCGUCCCAUUAGGUAGUGGGAGAGGUAACGGCCCACCAAGGCGAUGAUGGGUAGCCGGCCUGAGAGGGUGAUCGGGCACAAGGGGACUGGGACACGGCCCGUACUCAUAAGGGAGGAAGGAGUGGGGAAUAGUGGACAAUGGACCAAGGUGUGAUACAGGAAUUCGGUGUGCACGAUGAAGUUUUUCGGAAGGUAAAGUGCUUUCAGUGGGGACGGUACCAACAGAAGAAGGGACGGCUAAAUACGUGCCAGCAGCCGCGGUAAUAC